rnacentral:rRNA from 1 species
GACGAACGCUGGCGGCGUGCUUAACACAUGCAAGUCGAACGGAAAGGCCCUGCUUUUGUGGGGUGCUCGAGUGGCGAACGGGUGAGUAACACGUGAGUAACCUGCCCUUGACUUUGGGAUAACUUCAGGAAACUGGGGCUAAUACUGGAUAGGAGCUCCUGCUGCAUGGUGGGGGUUGGAAAGUUUCGGCGGUUGGGGAUGGACUCGCGGCUUAUCAGCUUGUUGGUGGGGUAGUGGCUUACCAAGGCUUUGACGGGUAGCCGGCCUGAGAGGGUGACCGGCCACAUUGGGACUGAGAUAGGGCCCAGACUCCUACGGGAGGCAGAAGUGGGGAAUAUUGCACAAUGGGCGGAAGCCUGAUGCAGCAACGCCGCGUGCGGGAUGACGGCCUUCGGGUUGUAAACCGCUUUCGCCUGUGACGAAGCGUGAGUGACGGUAAUGGGUAAAGAAGCACCGGCUAACUACGUG